CUGCUGGAACUAGAAAGUUGAUCGUUGUGGCAGCCGCCGCACCUAAAAAGUCUUGGAUCCCUGCUGUUAAAGGUGGUGGCAACUUCAUUGACCCAGAGUGGCUCGAUGGAUCGUAUGUGUUCUUUUUCCCUUUAAAUCUCCCCUUCCCCUUGUUUUAGUCUUUGUGGUUUGCAGUUCUUAGUAUAAAGUUUGCUUUUUCAGGCUCCCUGGAGACUACGGAUUUGACCCACUAGGUCUUGGAAAAGACCCAGCAUUCCUCAAAUGGUACCGAGAAGCUGAGCUGAUCCAUGGACGUUGGGCCAUGGCUGCUGUCGUCGGCAUCUUCGUCGGCCAAGCUUGGAGUGGCAUUCCAUGGUUCGAGGCAGGAGCUGACCCAGGUGCGAUAGCUCCAUUCUCUUUCGGCUCACUCCUUGGUACUCAGCUCAUCCUUAUGGGUUGGGUUGAAAGCAAGCGGUGGGUUGAUUUCUUCAACCCCCAAUCACAAUCAGUGGAAUGGGCAACUCCAUGGUCUAAGACCGCUCAGAACUUCGCCAACGCUACAGGUGAGCAAGGGUACCCAGGAGGCAAGUUCUUUGACCCAUUGGGGCUAGCAGGAACCAUCCAGAAUGGGGUCUACGUCCCUGAUAUUGACAAGCUCGAGAGACUUAAGC
rnacentral:lncRNA from 1 species